GGCGGACGGGUGCGUAACACGUGGGAAUAUACCUUUUGGUUCGGAACAACGCAGGGAAACUUGCGCUAAUACCGAAUGUGCCCUUACGGGGAAAGAUUUAUCGCCAAAGGAUUAGCCCGCGUAGGAUUAGCUAGUUGGUGAGGUAAUGGCUCACCAAGGCUCCGAUCCUUAGCUGUUCUGAGAGGAAGAUCAGCCACACUGGGACUGAGACACGGGCCCAGACUCAUACGGGAGGCAGCAGUUGGGAAUCUUGGACAAUGGGGGAAACCCUGAUCCAAGCCAUGCCGCGUGAGUGAUGAAGGCCUUCGGGUUGUAAAACUCUUUCGACGGGGACGAUAAUGACGGUACCCGUAGAAGAAGCUCCGGCUAACUUCGUGCCAGCCGCCGCGG
rnacentral:rRNA from 1 species